CGUAAAAUGCGGUCUAUGAAUACGACCCAUCUUAUAAAUAAACUGUGUGGCCAGUAUUUGUUUGUUAUAACGUUAUCAGCACUCCCCUGUGUGCGUGCACGCACACAUACACACAAAUAGAUAAGACCAACUAGUGCUCUGUUUCAGAUAAGACCUAGACUUAGGCCGACGUCUUAGGACCAGGCCGGCCAGCAAUGUGAAUUUUCAUCAAAGAAAAACAGUAUAAAACUCACUACGAUAUGCAUUGGUGUUGGAGUAACAAAGAAGACCAACUAAAUAACCUCUAAUCCAGUAAAAAAACAUCUAAAACUGUCAAUCUGUUAAUAUAAAAUACUCAGAACAACGUUGUGAAAUAACUACUUUAUCUUACCCGCGUAUUUAAGUUUUGAGAUUUACCUUUGACGUUUCGAGGGCGGCGCUGUCCCCGUGGUCUCGGAGAAGACACAAGUAAAAAAAGAUUAACGGAAUAAGUCCCGUUUAACAAUUUAAUAAUAUGUAACAAUCGUGAAAGUUUAUAACAGUGUACUUUGUCUUACAUUCGAGCCUUCAAAAAAGUAUGCAAAAUUUCUAAACAAAUCCAUUCCUAUCUAAUCUGCAACUUAUUAGAAAGCGCCAUCUAUCAGCACAAUUGCAACAUUAAUCUAUAUCGAAUCCAAUUAUAAGAAUACCGUGAAGCAUUAAGAUAAAUUUUAUCGAUAUCGAUAUACCAAUUAGCCCUCACUAUACUUACGGCGACGUUCAGGGUUACCACUUAUGGCGUACCUACGCUGUUUUCGUAAUUUAUAGGAAUAAUAAGAAAACAUAGAUUUUUAUUUAUAAAACAUACAUAAUUUUGUUAUUAAAUUGUUGUGUUAGAAAAAAAAGAAAUUUUGUAAUUCUUUUAGUGUAUUUUAAAUUGAUAAAUCAGUCUCUUCUCUUGCAUUAAGAAAUAAUUUAAACCAAAUAAAUUAAGUUAAAAUUAAAAUGCCCAAACACAUAUUUUCGAAUGUUUGUGAUGGUUGUAAUAUUAUAUUCGUUUCAUUAUCAUUGCUCUCUAUAAUUUUAGUUAUUAUACUGAUGUAGUCUUAAGAAAUAAAACUAUGAAAACGGAUUAUAUCGCGUAUAUUGAAUUUAUAAUACAUCCCGACGUUUCGAACUCUUUACAGCGUUCGUGGUCAACGGGUGACUGAGGAAAAAUUACAAAAUGCAAAAAUACCCACAUACUAAAAUAAUGAACAAUCAUAGACUACAAACUUUAAGGCUGGUUGUACAUGCAAAAUCGGUUCAUAAGGCUAGUUAUACACUAUAAUUA